GUAGAGGCCCUGGGCUACGGGGUCGCCCAUCUUUGCAAGGCGGGGGUUGAGGGUUCGAUUCCCUUCGUCUCCACCA
rnacentral:tRNA from 1 species